UACGGGGGGGGCAAGCGUUGUUCGGAAUUACUGGGCGUAAAGGGUUCGUAGGUGGCUUGCUAAGUCACACGUGAAAUCCCUCAGCUUAACUGGGGAACUGCGUGUGAUACUGGCGAGCUUGAGUGCAGGAGAGGAACGCGGAAUUCCAGGUGUAGCGGUGAAAUGCGUAGAUAUCUGGAGGAACACCGGUGGCGAAGACGGCGUUCUGGACUGCAACUGACACUGAAGAACGAAAGCCAGGGGAGCAAACGGG
rnacentral:rRNA from 1 species